rnacentral:rRNA from 1 species
GACGAACGCUGGCGGCGUGCUUAACACAUGCAAGUCGAACGGAAAGGCCCUGCUUUUGUGGGGUGCUCGAGUGGCGAACGGGUGAGUAACACGUGAGUAACCUGCCCUUGACUUUGGGAUAACUUCAGGAAACUGGGGCUAAUACCGGAUAGGAGCUCCUGCUGCAUGGUGGGGGUUGGAAAGUUUCGGCGGUUGGGGAUGGACUCGCGGCUUAUCAGCUUGUUGGUGGGGUAGUGGCUUACCAAGGCUUUGACGGGUAGCCGGCCUGAGAGGGUGACCGGCCCCAUUGGGACUGAGAUACGGCCCAGACUCCUACGGGAGGCAGCAGUGGGGAAUAUUGCACAAUGGGCGGAAGCCUGAUGCAGAAACGCCGCGUGCGGGAUGACGGCCUUCGGGUUUUAAACCGCUUUCGCCUGUGACGAGGCGUGAGUGACGGUAAUGGGUAAAGAAGCACCGGCUAACUACGUG